rnacentral:lncRNA from 1 species
GUAACUGACUAUUGUUUAUGAUUUGAAAGUGAAAUUUAUUGCAUGUAUAUAUCUUUGUUAUUAGCAUUCAGUAUUCUUUUAUAGUUCUGUGAUGUUUUAACUUGUGCUACUGUUGAUGAUGACUUUGUAAAAGCGAGGGUAUCCACCCCAAAACUGCAUGCAGCCCAGGAUGGCUUUGAAUGUGGCCUAACACAAAUAAAUAAUUUAUUAACAUUUUUUAAUACUGAAAGAUAGAGAAAACAUGCUUUAUUUUGGUCCAGCACUUUUUUGCCUUACACUAUAUGUAAUUUUUAAUGCUGUUUGGGUUUAUUUCAAACAUUUUUUGCUUCCAAGGAAAGGGGGGGGAAUACUCAGCUCAUCAGUUCAUUUUAUUUAUGUUUUCAACAAUAGAAAGCACAUGCUUAUCCUACUGAAAUCUGUUGAUGUAUGUACUGUACAUGCC